UCUUUAUCACCGAGUGCUUGCACUCACCGAUAAAGAGUUGAGUGGCGAACGGGUGAGUAACACGUGGGCAACCUGCCCAAAAGAGGGGGAUAACACUUGGAAACAGGUGCUAAUACCGCAUAACCAUAGUUACCGCAUGGUAACUAUGUAAAAGGUGGCUAUACUACCGCUUUUGGAUGGGCCCGCGGCGCAUUAGCUAGUUGGUAGGGUAAAGGCUUACCAAGGCAAUGAUGCGUAGCCGAAUUGAGAGGUUGAUCGGCCACAUUGGGACUGAGACACGGCCCAAACUCCUACGGGAGGCAGCAGUAGGGAAUCUUCCACAAUGGGCGAAAGCCUGAUGGAGCAACGCCGCGUGGGUGAAGAAGGUCUUCGGAUCGUAAAACCCUGUUGUUAGAGAAGAAAGUGCGUGAGAGUAACUGUUCACGUUUCGACGGUAUCUAACCAGAAAGCCACGGCUAACUACGUGCCAGCAGCCGCGGUAAUACGUAGGUGGCAAGCGUUAUCCGGAUUUAUUGGGCGUAAAGGGAACGCAGGCGGUCUUUUAAGUCUGAUGUGAAAGCCUUCGGCUUAACCGGAGUAGUGCAUUGGAAACUGGGAGACUUGAGUGCAGAAGAGGAGAGUGGAACUCCAUGUGUAGCGGUGAAAUGCGUAGAUAUAUGGAAGAACACCAGUGGCGAAAGCGGCUCUCUGGUCUGUAACUGACGCUGAGGUUCGAAAGCGUGGGUAGCAAACAGGAUUAGAUACCCUGGUAGUCCACGCCGUNAACGAUGAAUGCUAAGUGUU
rnacentral:rRNA from 1 species